UGCGCAGGUGGUUUGGCAAGUUUGACGUGAAAGCCCCGGGCUUAACCCGGGAAUGGCGUUGAAAACUGCUUGAAUUGGAGGGUUGGAGGGGGGACUGGAAUUCUUGGUGUAGCAGUGAAAUGCGUAGAUAUCAAGAGGAACACCAGUGGCGAAGGCGAGUCCCUGGACAAACCCUGACACUGAGGCACGAAAGCCAAGGGAGCAAACA
rnacentral:rRNA from 1 species